GCGGCAGUGGCGGAAUGGCAGACGCGCCAGACUCAGGAUCUGGUGGGGGCAACCCCGUGGAGGUUCAAAUCCUCUCUGCCGCA
rnacentral:tRNA from 1 species